rnacentral:rRNA from 1 species
GAUGAACGCUGGCGGCGUGCUUAACACAUGCAAGUCGAACGAAGCACUUUAUUUGAUUUCCUUCGGGACUGAUUAUUUUGUGACUGAGUGGCGGACGGGUGAGUAACGCGUGGGUAACCUGCCUUGUACAGGGGGAUAACAGUUGGAAACGGCUGCUAAUACCGCAUAAGCGCACAGCAUCGCAUGAUGCAGUGUGAAAAACUCCGGUGGUAUAAGAUGGACCCGCGUUGGAUUAGCUAGUUGGUGAGGUAACGGCCCACCAAGGCGACGAUCCAUAGCCGACCUGAGAGGGUGACCGGCCACAUUGGGACUGAGACACGGCCCAAACUCCUACGGGAGGCAGCAGUGGGGAAUAUUGCACAAUGGGCGAAAGCCUGAUGCAGCGACGCCGCGUGAGCGAAGAAGUAUUUCGGUAUGUAAAGCUCUAUCAGCAGGGAAGAUAAUG